GCCCGGCUGGCUCAGUUGGUAGAGCAUGCAACUCUUGAUCUCAAGGUCGUGAGUUUGAGGCCCAUGUUGGGCG
rnacentral:tRNA from 1 species